GUACUUGAGCAGGAAUACAAUCUUGGGAUCCUAUGUGUUACUACGAGCACUGGUUGCUGAGAAAUGCACUGGGAAUUGAUAAGGUUGAGUCUUGAUUCUUACUGACUGUAAUUAUCUGUAUACUGUUAAGUCUGUGUUUCUCAAACUUGAGUGUGUCCCAGAACUACCUGGAGGGCUUGGUGAAAUGCAGCUUGCUGGGUGCUAUUUUAGAUCCUUUUCUUUAGUGGUCAGUGCCAAGAAGACAAUAAAACAGGAUGAGGUGAUAGUAUGUUGGUCAGAUACCACUAAAACAGGAUUCAUAUAUAAGGGCUUUAUUUGGGAAAGUGCAUUUGAAAGAAAAUGAGAGGCCAGGAGAGGCAGGGAGGGCCAGCAGACUGCCCUGAGGUCUGCGCCUGAGUGAGGCAGAGAGCGAAGGAGGGUUGGGCAGGGGAGUACCAGUGCCGGCAGGCAGAGUGAGGACUAGGAGUGUCCUGGAGCCUUAAGUCAGCAGACAGAGGGGUCCCCUGUCCUCUGGGAGUGGGCCUCCCUUAGUGUCCCUCCAGGCCCGGUCAUUGGCUGGGAACAGACCAGGGGAAGCGUGGCCUCGGCACCAUUGCAGCCGGUCUUCCUCCUUGUAGUUGCAGAUCCGAGCUGCUUUCUCAUGGCCUCACCAGCGAGUCUGCAGUGACCAGAGAGGGCAUCUUCCUGGGAGGACGUGUGAGCUGAGACCUGAGCAACACCAAGGACUGAACCUGUGUUGAUCUGGGGCCACAUGGGAAGAGCAGGGGGAGCAAGCGCAGAGGCUGGGGAGCAGAAGAGAACUCAGGGUAUUUCAAGGGCAGAGCCAGUGAGGAGAACCGAGGGAAAGGUGAGAGUUAGGCUACUGCAGUUUAGGAAGGACUUGUAGGCCAAAUUGGGAACUGUACAUUUAAUUACAAAUAAAAUAAGAAACCUCUCAAGAUCGUCAAGCACCAGAAUGAUGAAAUCUGAGACAGAGUUGGGGUAUGCGUUGUGGAAAGGGGAGAGAGAGAGAGCAGAGAAACCAGUUAGGACUCUAGUUGAUGUUAGUCUAGGCAACCCAAAACUAUCUUUUGAACAGUUUUGGAAACUUUUUGGAAAAUUAUGCCUUUGAAGUACAUCCUUUUUCUCCUAGCCUUUAGGAUUCUGAAAAUAUGGUAGGUAGUCUACUUACAUUAGGGAAACAGCUGUAGGCACCCUGCUUUCCUGCAUCCGCUCCCAUCAUGUGUUUAUUUCAGGCCGUCUUUCUGUCAAGCCCCACUUCCGAUUCAUCCUCGUCACAUAACCUGUUUCCCUACUCUGUGCCCCUUGGGUUUUUGACACCCUGUGGUGGAUGCAACCUCACUUUUUCUUUCAUAGACCUUUACCAUCACAUUCAAACUAGCUGAGAUGCUGAUCCACCUAUCUCAUUUCUCUUUCUACAUAUGGUCUCAAAUUAUAUGUGGUACCACUCCCAAGGGCAAAACUGAAGCAGAACAUUAGUUAAUAUAUGAAGGCAACUUUUAGAGACAAACAAAUGAAUGGUAUUUGGCUAAAUUUAAUUAAUAAGAAUAAUUUCUUCUAUUGUGAUGGUUCUAAUGCUGACCUCUCCCUGCCCCCGCCCUGUGGCCCAGUGUGUGUGAAAGGUGGAAAUGUGUGUUUUAUUUUGGAAUAGGGGCCGUCUAGACUCCUGCUCCACCCCUGGGCACUCUGUCCCGCUUGGAGCUAACAAGGGCUUUGACACUGAGUUUUUUUCUGUGCGUUUUGAUUGUGUCUUCAGCAGUCACAGUGAGUGCAGAAUAAAUCCUAGCCAUGAUGCAUGAGAUCUGGAGCUGUACCUCUUGAAAAGGAAGAUGUCCCCAUUUAAAGAGCUGCCAGCCAGAAAAGCAUUAUUCCCUUGGAGGGUGUGUGCACGUGCUUGUAAAAUUUCACUCCCAUGAGGACUUCUCACCUUCAUUCAGUUGUGCAUUUUUCUGCUCUUCCUGCACCUGGGGAGCUCUCACCAGCAGGGAGAAGUUGGUGCUUAGGCUUUAAGUAAAGCGCUGAUUGCCCUGUCAUUCAGAGUGCUGAGAAACUAGGAACUUCCAAGAUAGAUUCUUGACAGAAUAAUUAGAAAAGUGUCACUUUCACUAACGAUUUGAGCACUCUCUAAAGGAAUGGGCCCAGGCCAGGUCUCUGCUGUCCAAGCCUGGAGGUUAAAUGUUCAGGAAGACAAAACAUAGUGUGUCACGGGGGAAGAUUGCUUCAGAUGUGUGGGAAGGGAUGGCCCUCCAACUCUGAAACAAGGACACCCGGUUGUCUGGGCUUUUGCAGAUGUGUUUCUCUGGCCUUUUGCCAACAUUGCUGCUGUUUUAAUACCUGCUUGAGAUUAUUUUGCUCUCUGUUGGUUGUCUGCCUUGCAGUGAUGUGUGCAGACAGCUGGCGAGGCAGCUUUCUCCUUGACCUUUCUGUAGGCAUGACACUUUCUAUCUCCUCAUUUAGAGAUGGCCCCUGGCCCUUGCAUAACCUCAGAGUCCCAAAGCCAGGAUCAUUUCCAGACAGUGCCAGACACAUGAUCAGGGCAUUGUUUUCCAGACUUACACUAUCUCAAGUAUAGUGGGACACCAGUGUGUACGCAUGAGACAGAAGAGGAAGAGGGUGGCCUCAUGAUGUAGGCAAAUUAAUUGCUUUGAGAAGAAAGAAAUUAAUUUAUGUGUUCUUCUUAUUUUAUAGGAAAAUAUAAGUCAGGGAACUUAAGCAUUUAUAACACAAUAGAUGGAGAUAAAGAAAAAUUUCUCCUAUUUUACAUCCUUUGUCACAAAUGCUUUCCUUUUUCAAACAUAAAUUUUGGGAAGAAAAUAAUGCUCUCUGUGUCCACAUCUGUAUGUGUGUACAGGUAUUUUUAACACUUCCUGGACAUCAGAAUCUCUUGGGCCGGAUCUGAGAAAUGCUGACGUCAGCCAUCAUUACGGAGCAGCGACCAAAAAAUAUCACUUAAAUAUAUAAUCUACACUUAAGAUUUCAAGCAGAUUUAUGGAGUUGGCAAAAGGAAAUGGGAAAUGAGUUGGCUUCAGUGCAUUGUGAAUGUUCAAAACCCUGAGUCUUGUUUGGGGUGUUAAACUCAGGUACAACAUGGGUAAUUUGUUAAUGGUCA